UACGGAGGGUGCGAGCGUUGUCCGGAUUUAUUGGGUUUAAAGGGUGCGUAGGCGGCCAGAUAAGUCCGGGGUGAAAGACCAUGGCUCAACUAUGGCAGUGCCCUGGAUACUGUUAGGCUAGAGUACAGGCGAGGCUGGCGGAACGGGUGGUGUAGCGGUGAAAUGCAUAGAUACCAUCCAGAACUCCGAUUGCGAAGGCAGCUGGCCAGACUGUCACUGACGCUGAGGCACGAAAGCGUGGGGAGCAAACAGG
rnacentral:rRNA from 1 species